rnacentral:rRNA from 1 species
ACUCCUACGGGAGGCAGCAGUGGGAAUAUUGCACAAUGGGGAAAGCCCAUCGAUGCAGCCAUGCCGCGCUGUGUGAAGAAGGCCAAUUCGGGCUUGGUAAAGACACUUUCAGCGAGGAGGAAAGGGUGUGUGUUAAUACCAUACAUCUGUGACGUUACUCGCAGAAGAAGCACCGGCUAACUCCGUGCCAGCAGCCGCGGUAAUACGGAGGGUGCGAGCGUUAAUCGGAAUUACUGGGCGUAAAGCGUGCGCAGGCGGUUUGUUAAGCGAGAUGUGAAAGCCCGC